GGUUAACAACCAGAAGUCAAGGUGAUUCGCUAGGCUGCAGCCGAAAAUAUUUUGUAAAUCUUGUUUCUGAAUAAAAAUGGAUCUACACGACAACAUACAGUCACUUAAACACAGGUUGGUGCAAUACAGUACGAUUGCAAAAUAAGCCACCAUGGAGCCAACAAAGAUUGCGAGUGCCAGCACUUUGAUAAAGAAGGCAAAGUUGUUUUGAUUAGGUCGCCGUCUAACCUUUUUUGGAACGGAUCACAAACAAAAAUCCCCACACCUGAGAAAGAAUGACAGCCAUGGCCAGGUUCUCGCUGUGCGCGGCCACAUAUCCCAACAUCAUGAUCCCUGGCAACCUCAGACUUCCACGACUCUCGCCAAGGUAGGUGAUCACUUCUGAGGUUCCGCCACAGUU